AAUCCAUAGGUUAAUGAGGCGAACCGGGGGAACUGAAACAUCUAAGUACCCCGAGGAAAAGAAAUCAACCGAGAUUCCCCCAGUAGCGGCGAGCGAACGGGGAGGAGCCCAGAGCCUGAAUCAGCAUGUGUGUUAGUGGAAGCGUCUGGAAAGGCGCGCGAUACAGGGUGACAGCCCCGUACACAAAAGCGCAUGUGCUGUGAGCUCGAUGAGUAGGGCGGGACACGUGGUAUCCUGUCUGAAUAUGGGGGGACCAUCCUCCAAGGCUAAAUACUCCUGACUGACCGAUAGUGAACCAGUACCGUGAGGGAAAGGCGAAAAGAACCCCGGCGAGGGGAGUGAAAAAGAACCUGAAACCGUGUACGUACAAGCAGUGGGAGCACAGGUUUACCUGUGUGACUGCGUACCUUUUGUAUAAUGGGUCAGCGACUUAUAUUCUGUAGCAAGGUUAACCGUAUAGGGGAGCCGUAGGGAAACCGAGUCUUAACCGGGCGUUAAGUUGCAGGGUAUAGACCCGAAACCCGGUGAUCUAGCCAUGGGCAGGUUGAAGGUUGGGUAACACUAACUGGAGGACCGAACCGACUAAUGUUGAAAAAUUAGCGGAUGACCUGUGGCUGGGGGUGAAAGGCCAAUCAAACCGGGAGAUAGCUGGUUCUCCCCGAAAGCUAUUUAGGUAGCGCCUCGUGAAUUCAUCUCCGGGGGUAGAGCACUGUUUCGGCUAGGGGGCCAUCCCGGCUUACCAACCCGAUGCAAACUGCGAAUACCGGAGAAUGUUAUCACGGGAGACACACGGCGGGUGCUAACGUCCGUCGUGAAGAGGGAAACAACCCAGACCGCCAGCUAAGGUCCCAAAGUCAUGGUUAAGUGGGAAACGAUGUGGGAAGGCCCAGACAGCCAGGAUGUUGGCUUAGAAGCAGCCAUCAUUUAAAGAAAGCGUAAUAGCUCACUGGUCGAGUCGGCCUGCGCGGAAGAUGUAACGGGGCUAAACCAUGCACCGAAGCUGCGGCAGCGACGCUGAUGCGUUGUUGGGUAGGGGAGCGUUCUGUAAGCCUGUGAAGGUGGCCUGUGAGGGUUGCUGGAGGUAUCAGAAGUGCGAAUGCUGACAUAAGUAACGAUAAAGCGGGUGAAAAGCCCGCUCGCCGGAAGACCAAGGGUUCCUGUCCAACGUUAAUCGGGGCAGGGUGAGUCGACCCCUAAGGCGAGGCCGAAAGGCGUAGUCGAUGGGAAACGGGUUAAUAUUCCCGUACUUGGUGUUACUGCGAAGGGGGGACGGAGAAGGCUAUGUUGGCCGGGCGACGGUUGUCCCGGUUUAAGCGUGUAGGUGUGUGUUCCAGGUAAAUCCGGUUCACUUUAACACUGAGGCGUGAUGACGAGGCACUACGGUGCUGAAGCAACAAAUGCCCUGCUUCCAGGAAAAGCCUCUAAGCAUCAGGUAACAUCAAAUCGUACCCCAAACCGACACAGGUGGUCAGGUAGAGAAUACCAAGGCGCUUGAGAGAACUCGGGUGAAGGAACUAGGCAAAAUGGUGCCGUAACU
rnacentral:rRNA from 2 species